rnacentral:lncRNA from 10 species
CAGAAGAGGAUUAGACAGAAAGAUAUCAAAAGAUACCCAGACGUAGGUAGUUUCUGUCAUUGCUUCAGCAGUUUUUCCUUUUAUUUUUAGUUGACAUGUAAUAAUUGUACAUAUUUAUAGAAGACAGUGAUAUUUCAAUAUGUGUAUACAAUGUGCAAUGAUCAAAUUAGCGUAAUUAGCAUAUUCAUCACCUCAAACUUUCAGGCCUCAGUGUUGUGAACAUUCAAAAUCCUCCUAGCUUUCUGAAAAUAUGCAAUAAGCUACGGUGAACCAUAGUCACUCACUAACUAGUGCUGCGGAACAACAGAACUCAUCUUUCCUAUCUAGCUGGUGUAAGCAUUUUAAUGCUAUCAGUUCUCGUGUCUCUGUGAUAUUCUUGGCCACAAAAUGACUGCUUCAGCUCCGGUCAUCACAUCCAUGACCAAGGCAAAAAGAAGGGGAAUGGCUAAAGGGAAGAGCUAGUUCUGAGUGUGCCCUUCUAAUAUGAAAGCCCUUCUUUCCUUCCUUCCUCCCUCCCUCCCUCCCCCUCCCCUUUCCCUUCCCUUCCUUUCCUUUCCUUUCUUUUUUUUUUUUUUUUUGAGACAGGGUCUCGCUCUGUUGCCCAGGCUGUACUGCAGUGGUGCAAUCGUAGCUCACUGCAGCCUUGACCUCCUAGUCUCAAGCAAUCCUCCCACCUCAGCCUUCUGAGUAGCUGGAACCACAGGCGAGCCACCACGCGUGGCUAAUUUUUAAAAUUUUUGUAGACACAGAGUCUCACUAUUUUGCCCAGUCUGGUCUCAAACUCCUGGCCUUAAGCAAUCCUCCCACCUUAGCCUCCCAGUGUACUAGGAUUACAGGCGUAAGCUGCUUUGCCUGGCCACCCCUCAUUUCUGAUCCAUUGUAUUUGAGCUGAACAAGCACCUUUAGCAUGAAUUCUUUCCAGGGAGUUCUCAUACUUUCUUUUUUUUUUUUUUUUUUUUGAGAUGGAGUCUGACUCUGUCGCUCAGGCUGGAGUGCAGUGGCGCGAUCUGGGCUCACUGCAAGCUCCGCCUCCUGGGUCCAUGCCAUUCUCCUGCCUCAGCCUCCCGAGUAGCUGGGACUACAGGCGCCCGCCACCACGCCCAGCUAAUUUUUUGUAGUUUUAGUAGAGACGGGGUUUCACCGUGUUAGCCAGGAUGGUCUUGAUCUCCUGACCUCGUGAUCCACCCGCCUCGGCCUCCCAAAGUGCUGGGAUUACAGGGGCGAGCCACCGCUCUCGGCCCUCAUACUUUCAACCACAUAAAAAGCGCAGUGGAGUUUUUUCCUCUCCACCAUUAGCUGUUCCCUUCUUGAGUCAAUAACAUCGUAAUCCUAUCUUGAGGGACAGAAUCUCAGCCAAAUGCUGGUGGGAAUCCCAUUAAUUCCAAGCUCAAGGGGGUUGAGUCUAGAACUGAGGUUGAGCCAAUCAGUGCACUCCUUCUCCCUAGGCAACCAGUGAUUGGUUCAGGGAUGGUGACGGUGACGUGGCCAAAUUAACCACCAGGGCUGAAAAGACUCAAUCCCGUGUUUUGCUUGAAACACCCGUGAAACAGACUUGCUUUUCCAUGCUGAAUGUCCACAAACACGGCCACAGCUGUAAAAACUUUUGGAAGGCCAGGCGGGGUGGCUCACUAGUCUUAUACUUGGAUCACUGCAGUUAGGGUCAUUGUGUCCAUGUGUUGGGGUUUUGGAAACAGGGGGCUUGGCUGCUAUUGUGCUGAGGUCGGAGACGGGGGCCUGGCUAUGCUGGGAGCCUCAGGCAAGAGACCGAGUGUCCACCAUGAGGUCCUUUCCCUCUUAAGCACUGUCACUUUCCCUGGGUGUUGUAAGAGGGGAGGCGUGAGUCUUCUAUUCUUGUGGGGUCUGCCAGUCUCUGGCUCAUUUCUAGUCCUGGGGACUCUUCUGCUCCCCUUGGCUGUCACUGCUCUGCCCUUCCUCCCUUUGAGAUACUUGUGUUUCUCCUCUUGUCCUUGGGGAUGACCCCAUACAUGUCCCAGAAUAAUAAUAUGUUGAAAAACAAAGCCAGAAAUGAGGGUUGUUUUCGGAGUUACUUCUGCUUUCUUCCAUGUUAAUCAACCCUCUUUUUAAACAUUUUUUUUUGAGAUAGGGUCCCACUCUGUCACCCAUGCUGGAGUGCAGUGGCGGUCUUGGCUCACUGCAGCCGUGACAUCCUGGGCUCAACUGAUCUUCCCAUCUCAGCCCCCUGAGUAGCUAGGACUAUAGGCACAUGCUACCAUAUCCAGAUAAUUUUUGUAUUUUUUGUAGAGAUGGGGUUU